UCGAGAAUCUUCCGCAAUGGGCGAAAGCCUGACGGAGCGAUGCCGCGUGAGGGACGAAGGUCUUCGGAUUGUAAACCUCUGUCAUCGGGGACGAACCAAAUGACGGUACCCGAAAAGGAAGCCACGGCUAACCACGUGCCAGCAGCCGCGGUAACACGUGGGUGGCGAGCGUUAUUCGGAUUCACUGGGCGUAAAGGGUCCGCAGGGGGCCUGCCACGCCCGCCGUGAAAGCCCGGGGCUCAACCCCGGGACUGCGGCGGGUACGGCGGGCUGGAGUGUGUGAUGGGCAGACGGAAUUCCAGGUGUAGCGGUGGAAUGCGUGGAUAUCUGGAAGAACACCGAUGGCGAAGGCGGUCUGCUGGCACAUCACUGACCCUCAGGGACGAGAGUGUGGGUAGCGAACAGGAUUAGAUACCCUGGUAGU
rnacentral:rRNA from 1 species